rnacentral:rRNA from 1 species
GAUGAACGCUGGCGGCGUGCCUAAUACAUGCAAGUCGAGCGAACAGACGAGGAGCUUGCUCCUCUGACGUUAGCGGCGGACGGGUGAGUAACACGUGGAUAACCUACCUAUAAGACUGGGAUAACUUCGGGAAACCGGAGCUAAUACCGGAUAAUAUAUUGAACCGCAUGGUUCAAUAGUGAAAGACGGUUUUGCUGUCACUUAUAGAUGGAUCCGCGCCGCAUUAGCUAGUUGGUAAGGUAACGGCUUUCCAAGGCAACGAUGCGUAGGCGACGUGAGAGGGUGAUCGGCCACACUGGAACUGAGACACGGACCAGAGGCCUACGGGAGGCAGCAGUAUGGAAUCUGCCGCAAUGGGCGAAAGCCUGACGGAGCAACGCCGCGUGAGUGAUGAAGGUCUUCGGAGCGUAAAACUCUGUUAUUAGGGAAGAACAAAUGUGUAAGUAACUAUGCACUUCUUGACGGUACCUAAUCAGAAAGCCACGGCUAACUACGUG